ACGGUACCUGCAGAAGAAGCACCGGCUAACUAUGUGCCAGCAGCCGCGGUAAUACAUAGGGUGCAAGCGUUGUCCGGAAUUAUUGGGCGUAAAGAGCUCGUAGGUGGUUCGUCACGUCGGAUGUGAAACUCUGGGGCUUAACCCCAGACCUGCAUUCGAUACGGGCGAGCUUGAGUAUGGUAGGGGAGUCUGGAAUUCCUGGUGUAGCGGUGGAAUGCGCAGAUAUCAGGAGGAACACCAAUGGCGAAGGCAGGACUCUGGGCCAUUACUGACACUGAGGAGCGAAAGCKGGGGGAGCGAACAGGAUUAGAUACCCUGGUAGUCCACGCCGUAAACGGUGGGCACUAGUUGUGGGGACCUUCCACGGUCUCUGCGACGCAGCUAACGCAUUAAGUGCCCCGCCUGGGGAGUACGAUCGCAAGAUUA
rnacentral:rRNA from 1 species